GGACGAACGCUGGCGGCGUGCUUAACACAUGCAAGUCGAGCGAUGAAGCUCCUUCGGGAGUGGAUUAGCGGCGGACGGGUGAGUAACACGUGGGUAACCUGCCUCAUAGAGGGGAAUAGCCUUUCGAAAGGAAGAUUAAUACCGCAUAAGAUUGUAGUACCGCAUGGUACAGCAAUUAAAGGAGUAAUCCGCUAUGAGAUGGACCCGCGUCGCAUUAGCUAGUUGGUGAGGUAACGGCUCACCAAGGCGACGAUGCGUAGCCGACCUGAGAGGGUGAUCGGCCACAUUGGGACUGAGACACGGCCCAGACUCCUACGGGAGGCAGCAGUGGGGAAUAUUGCACAAUGGGGGAAACCCUGAUGCAGCAACGCCGCGUGAGUGAUGACGGUCUUCGGAUUGUAAAGCUCUGUCUUUAGGGACGAUAAUGACGGUACCUAAGGAGGAAGCCACGGCUAACUACGU
rnacentral:rRNA from 1 species